CUAUGACCAAAAUAUGAGAAUAAAGUUUUUUAUGCACAAUAAAGGAAAAAGCAAGCCUUCUUCUUGGGUUUUAUUAGGGUUUGAAUUACCCUAAACAAAAAAUAAUAAGAUGCAAAAUAUCUCUUCUUUCUCUAUUUGCCUUUCACUCUACAGAGGGCAGCUGCUAUCCUAGAGGUACAUCAUGUGACUGUGCUUAUGAUGACUUUGUUCUCUUUCAUGGCCGCUCUAGGUAAAAAUCUUCAUGAUUUUGUGAACUAUUGUAUAUUUGAUGCUCAAAUUUGUAUUCACUUUAGAAUUUUCUCCAUGCAAUAUGUGCUUAUUGCAGACUGUAUGCUUGAGAUUCUCUUCUUAAUGAGAGUGAAAGAGUAGGGUUUUCUUUGUGUUCUUAGGCUACAAAUAUGGGUUAAAAUCUUGUUGAACUUACUAAGAUUUUCUUACAUAGACUACAACUUUGCAUCUCA